CUUCACCGAGCUGUUCACCUGGGAAUUGAGCACUUCAUGUAAAUUAUACCCCAAUUAAAAACAAAGCCAGUAGUGCUCACAGCAGGCCCCGGGGGAACGAAAAGUUUAAAUCACUUGACCAUCAGGAGCUGGGGACAUCAGCUAGCUUGGGAGCUAAAGCAGAAACUGGGUAGAGGGGGAGAGGAGAGCCAGAGACCCAGAUAGACAGACACAGAUCGAGGAUGACAGACGGAGAAGGUGCUUAUGGGAAGAAGUUGACCCAAAUUCCAGGCAGUUGAAUUUGUCCUAGGAGAAAAGGGUGGGGUUUGGCUUCCAACUAGGGUGACCGGUUUGCCCAGGACUCCUGGUUUGGGGCACCGAAAGUUCUGUACUCUGGGAAACGUCUCGGGCCAAGGCAGUGGGGACAGCUCAGCACCGGGCUCCCAAGGCCUGGCACUGGGCUGGGCUGGCGGGGGGGAGCAGGCCCAGAAACCAUCCGCACCCAGAGCCCCCCCCCCAAGCGUUGAGGAGGAGCGCAGGAGGGGUUAGGUAGAUGGGCUCUCUCCUCUUCUGCCAGAGGUGGCUGUGAAUCCCCCGAGAGUCUGAGAGGAGGUAGUGGCGACCUCCUUCGGGGCCCUCCCAUUUCUCCAGCUGCCUCUGUCCAGUCUCCACCUUCGCAGCGCCCAUCAGCUCUGCUCACGCCCCUGCACCAGCGCCUCGGGGGGUUCUUGACCAUUUCGUGCCACAGAGCCUCUGACAGCUUGAAGUGUUCGUGCUCGGCUCAGAAGAAUGCCUUCCAUGCACAAAAUCAGAUGUGAACGGUCAUAAAGAGCAUCUAUUAUGCGGAGAGACUGCUAGCAAAAGAGUCUUGUUCGUGCAUUUGCGAUCAAGUCAUUCACAGCCUCCUUCACGAAUGCUUUACCUACCGAAAUUCAGCAGCAGGCGGGGUGCUGAGGAGUCAGGACACUGCGUGGCCAUUUGUGAUACCUGCGGCAACCGUACUGGGGACGUGGGACUGCCUGGGAUUUCUGCGGGGGACUGUCGCAGGUGCUGCCAAGCCUGCUGUGCUGGGCUGCCCCCAUUCCUAUGAGCCGGGAAUGACAAGUUUCACUUAGUCGAUAAAGAAAAUAUAGGGGUAAUUUCUGUCCCAUCCAAGGUCACCUGUACCUCUGAAUUCUACCCAUGUACUUAAGGUGAAAAAGCACCAUGUAAGAGAAGGAAAGUCAGGCGUAAACAGUAGAGUGCGGGGCCCUGUGAGUGUUGUUAGCCCUUGAGGGCCGUGGCGUGGGCAGGGGAGGUUGAGAAGCAGGUUCAAACCGGAUUAUUAGCCCGCAAACCGUGAGGCCAGAAGCAAACAGGGGAGCCUCGUCUCUGUAUCUCCAAGCUGGCGGCCGGUUCUCAAUAGGCUUUGUGGUAGUAAAAAUAACAUUUGGUGUGACCCUGGCCUCCUGCCUCCAUUCCCGUGUGUGGGAGGACAGCCGGCUGGCAGAUUGCAGGCCCUGAGGGCGGCCGGGGAGCCCGGCUCUGCAGCCUGGAGAGAGGCCUUUGGGCCACAGGGGGAGCAGGCCUCGGUCCCUCAGGCUUCCCUGAACAGCCCUGUGGGAGACCAGCUUCGGGGAAGCCCUCCUCUUUGAAGGCGAGGCUCCACCUGGGACAGGUGGUCCACUCAGACCUCCAGGUCUUAGCAGGAGUGAGUUGUUUGUUUAAUAUCACCCUGUGCAGGAAUGCAGGGGACCAGAGACCCUGGGGGCAAGGAGACCCAUGGCUCUGGCACCAGCCCAAGUGACCUCCAGCUGGAAAACUGCCUUCUAAUUAGCAAUCAGGAAAUCAAGGCCUAGCACGGCGCCAAGCAGCAUGACCCCAGCCGUAGCCCAGUGACAUUUCCACCCUCUAGACAGCAUGCCCCUGCCCUGCGCUGCAGGGCUGCAGACCCCUCGGGUUAUUUUUAUCUAAUGGUGCUAUUGUUGGUCUUGCAUAGCUGCUGCGGUGGGUUCCAGCAGCCGUGAGCUCGCACUGACGGUUUCCUGUUCAGCUUCCUCUCUCUUGCGCGAGGUUUCCCCCCUCUGCCCCUGCUCGCAGGCAGGCCACCCCCAGGCCUCCUGGAGCCUGCCCCUGGCCUUGGAGGCGGCCAGGGGCCUGUGGCCUUCCAUGGCUCAUCCCCCUCCCCCCACACGAGAGUGCCCCAGCCCCUUUGCCUGUGCAGAGAAAGGGGGUACAGCUAAUUCUUCUAGGUGACUUUCUCACACCCCAAGGCUCUAGGAGAUGAAAGCACUGCUUUCUAGCAAGCCAGCUUCACCAAGUCAGUGGCUCUCCAACUGUUUAGACUGUGACUGACAGCAAGAAAAAGAUCUUCAUUUUUCAUAAUUGGGACACACAUCCAUACCUCUGUAGGAAUGACAGGUUUCAGGGAGGACCAAUCUUCCCAUGUCUGUUGCACUCUGGUUUUUCUUUUUUUUUUCCCUGUUAUAUUUUAGUGUUUCCUGUUUGAAGAUUCUGCUUGCAACCCACAAAUAAAUCGAUUUCACAACCCAA